CUGGCGGCGGCGGUGGCAGCGAGCCCAGAGCGGGGCCGGCGGUGCUCCGUGGCCGCCAGGUGCCCUCCCACAUCUGCGGCGGGUGCGGCGUGUCUGAGGGCCGCCCGCCCGGCGUGCGGCCGUGCAGCUCGGCAAAACCCGGUUCCGCAUGCUCUGCCCGGCUGCUGCCGUCGGCAGUUACCUCUGAGCCGAGGCCUCCCUGCUGGCUGCAAGCGCUAAGCCUGGGUUUAGCUCCCCUUCCCCAGCGGCCCCAGGUGCCGGUGGGGCCGGCAGCGGUGCCCGCCCGCAGUCGGCGUUCCUGACGCUUUGCAGCGCGGACAUGACAGCAAGGGCAUGUUUUUGUGUAAGGCAUUUCGGUUCAAUCCGGGUGGGGACGGCAGUGUUGCAGGACCACAUUUUUGGGCAAACCACCAGUGAUGAUAAGCCUCAGUGUUGCAUUACAUAAGUAAGCUUGCCCCCAGCCCACUCCCUGCUCCCCAGGAGAUCCAGGGCUGCUCUCAAUCCACUCAUCACCCAGCCUAUAUCCAUGUUUGGGAUUGUCCCGACCCAGGUGCAGGCCUUGUUGAACUUCAUAGGAAUCUGGUAUGGGCCACCAGCAGCAGAUUUGGAUACGGAGGGAGAUAUCCAAUGGUGGAUAAAACUACUCUGAGGAGUUCAUGUCAUUACAUGAGAUCAGAAUUUAGGCAUUUGAAUCUCAGGGAGUGGAAAACGAUAUUAAAGAGAUGCAAAAUUUCAACAGUCUGAAUUUUUUUGAUUAAAUAAUGGGCAAAAAUUUUAGAAAGAAGGUUCCAAAAUAAUUGUACAAAUAUCUAGUAUACAAUGUGUGUUAGCAUUAAAAUAAAGAUUCUGAGAGAACUGGAAAAAAAGGAACUGAUUGGUGUAAUGAACUGUGUCUUGUGAAUCAGAAGCAUAUGUUAAACGGGUAAAAAAAUAACACUCAAGAUUUUCUACCUUCAGGUAAAAACUAAAGUAGCAACCAAUGAAGGUGAGACAGA